rnacentral:misc_RNA from 1 species
CUGCGAUGUCUCCGUAGCAGCUGCAAUGUAAAAUAUUAAAUUAAGGAAGAACAGCAGUAGAAAAAUAUUGAGUACCAUCAGAUCAGAGAAAGCAUAUCUAGAAAUUACAAGCACAUGAACUAAAACACAAGUAAACAACGUAAUAAUCAAAUAGGCUCAAGGACACCAGAGAGAGUUUAACAAAGACAUCAAGGUAGCAGGAGAACCAGACUAGGAAAAUGUCUUAGAAUUUUUAGCUUUAAGCUGUCAACUUCAAUCAAACGAUGAGCAUUAUAGUUUUUAUGUUCUAGCGAUGAUACAGGGGAGAAAAAAACCUAUAUAAAUAGUUAUUUAAUUUCGUAAUUGAUAAUGAGAAAAACAAUUUUACCAUCUUUAACAGGGGCAAAAAGUGCAAGUGCUACAAAAACAACCUUGUAAGAAAUAUCAGACCUUGCUUCUAACAAUUUCCCAGAAAAAGUCCUAUUUUCCAACAACUACUAAAAAAGUUAAUGGGGGAAAAAUGGUAUCUCCCACAUGAUAUUUCCAAAGAAAGGUAAAUUAUUGAAAGAAAAAUAGACGUGAUUUUCUCGGAGCCAAUCUCUACCCAGCAAGUAAAAUGGCUUGUAAACUGCUUAAAUUUCUCAAAUCAAUUCAUAUAAAGACCUAUCUCCGUUUUUCACAUUAUUAGUUCAUACCAAUCCUAAAAUGUGCAUUCCUAAGAGUCAAGAAUACUACAAAGAAUAUCAACACUAAAGUAAACAAGAAGGUAGCCCCCAUAUCUAAAAAGGGAAAAAAUUCAUUGCGAUUUAAAACUUAUUAGGAAAAAAAAGAAGAAGAGAAGGGAGAGUGUCUGAGAGCCCAUAGCAUAGCAAACUAUUACCUGAUUUAUAUAACUUAAUCUGGAAACACCAGCUACCAAUUUUGCCACAUCUUCGCCAAACUCUUCUUCUAUACUAUUUAAACUUUGAUAUGUAUCAUCCACCACAUCAUGAAGAAUCCCAGCCACAACCGUAUCAACAG